rnacentral:ncRNA from 1 species
ACUCUAGUUUGACAUUGUGAAAAGACAUAGGAGGUGUAGAAUAGGUGGGAGCUUCGGCGCCGGUGAAAUACCACUACUCCUAUUGUUUUUUUACUUAUUCAAUGAAGCGGGGUCUUGUAAUUGGAAUGAGUACAAUUUAAAUCCCUUAACGAGGAACAAUUGGAGGGCAAGUCUGGUGCCAGCAGCCGCGGGAAUUCCAGCUCCAAUAGCGUAUAUUAAAGUUGUUGUGGUUAAAAAGCUCGUAGUUGAACCUUGGGCCUGGCUGGCCGGUCCGGGGGUCAGUGACGAAGCCUAGGGCGUGAGCCCGGGUCGAACGGCCUCUAGUGCAGAUCUUGGUGGUAGUAGCAAAUACUUCAAUGAGAAGGUGUAGAAUAGGUGGGAGCUUCGGCGCCGGUGAAAUACCACUACUCCUAUUGUUUUUUUACUUAUUCAAUGAAGCGGGGCUGGAUUUUCGUCCAACUUCUGGUAUUAAGGUCCUUCGCGGGCCGACCCGGGUUGAAGACAUUGUCAGGUGGGGAGUUUGGCUGGGGCGGCACAUCUGUUAAACCAUAACGCAGGUGUCAUUGUCAGAGGUGAAAUUCUUGGAUUUAUUGAAGACUAACUACUGCGAAAGCAUUUGCCAAGGAUGUUUUCAUUAAUCAGGAACGAAAGUUAGGGG